UACAGAGGGUGCGAGCGUUGUCCGGAAUCACUGGGCGUAAAGGGCGCGUAGGCGGUGACUUAAGCGUGUGGUGAAAGCUCGGGGCUCAACCCCCGAGUCGGCCGUGCGAACUGGGUCACUGGAGCAGAUCAGAGGCAGGCGGAAUUCCGGGUGUAGCGGUGGAAUGCGUAGAGAUCCGGAAGAACACCGGUGGCGAAGGCGGCCUGCUGGGAUCUUGCUGACGCUGAGGCGCGACAGCGUGGGGAGCAAACAGG
rnacentral:rRNA from 1 species